CCCAAUUUCUCCGCAAUCCUUCCCACGCGCGUCUUCUCCCCUUUCCGCGUGUGCCCUCUCCCCUUUCAGCUUCCUCCAUCGCGCCUCUCUUCCCAACCGUUCUCCCCGCUUCCAUCGCCGCCGCCCCCGCCCGCUACUCGCGUGCUUCGCCCGUCACACGGUGACUCACACCGAUCCACGCCGCCACCGACGACGAUCUCCUCCGCGCCGCCCCUCCGUGCAACCCCUAACUGCCGCCCCCAUUCCUCCCCUCACCAUCCAACCUCGCCACCUGACGAUUCCCCUAAGCGCCGCUCUCCCCGCUUCCAUCGCCGCCCCCCGCUGCUCGCGCGCCUCCGCCCAUCGCGCCGAUCCACGCCGCCACCGAUGACGAUCUCCUCCGUGCCGCCCCUCCGUGUAUCGUCUAACUGCCACCCCAUCCCUUCCCUCACCAUCCAACCUCGCCGCCCGACGAUUCCCCUAAGCGCCACGCGCUCUCAUCCGUCCCAUCACCAUCUCCUUCCAACCUCUCCGGCCAUCCGCCCUCAUCCCUCCCCUCGCCAUGUCCUUCCAACCUCAUCGGCCAUCCGGACGUCGCCCCCUGCCCGUCGGAGAUCGACGGCCGCCGGUUCCACCAACCACCGCAAUUGACCCCAUCUCUCAUCUCUGUGUUUACUGAAUAUUUGGUAUUAUACGGUGUUUAUUCAUCUCUCAUCUCUGUGUUUAUUCAGCUAUGUUAGGGAUGUGGAACACAAUUCUUCGUGUUACUCACUGAUUUAACUGAAAUUUUGAUUACUGAACACUUGCAGCAUAGUGUUUGAUUUUGACCAAAUCCACUAUAGUGAUGGCAGAUGAACAGUGAUACUACUUCAACAUCAGAAAUUUUCUGCAUGUUGUGAGGAUUGUUCAGCUGGCUUGCACACAUUAAGAUAUGGAUAACAAUAUUGGGGGCUCCACACCAGCAUCGUUAACAAGAUCACGCCCUUUUGCUGAUAUUACUAAUACAAGUGCCGGGGAUAAAAAAAGAACGUAACAGUAUUGGGUCUCCCCCCUCUUAUCUUUAACAACAUCAAGAGUUUUUUUUGUCAGUUAUAUUCAGUCCAUCAAGAUGUCACUUGCGUACUAAUUUCGCAAGAUUUCCUCCCUCAGCCCUGUUUGCCGAUAUUACUAAUGCAAGCGCGGGGGGAUUUACAAAUAAACCAUGUCAGUAAGAGAUGCACAUCCUCCAAUUUGCCGCAAAAGGAAAUAUGCAAAAUCUGCAAGAAGGUGGUGCUAAUCUCAGCGCAUUAGAAUUAAGAAGGAAGUGAUGUGACCAUGGCUACUAUGGAUACAACCGUUGCUCACAUCAUAGAUGAACAACAAGAUAUUAAGUUCAAGUCCUCCAAGUGCUGGAAUCCGAUUCUGCUACACUGCUGACUUCAAACGGCCACCAAAUCUGCAUACGACCUCCGUUUUCGGCCCGUGAGUACUUGAUGGAAAGCUCUCGGAGUCGUCUUUCCAACGGAUCCAGCAUCAUCCCCGAAUUCCAUCUUGUUUUGACGCAAUCACAAAAACAAGGUGCUGCGUCACCUGUCAUGGGCCUUUGGGCUUGUAACUUCGUUUGGGACCCCGGCCCAAGUGGGGCCCAGUGGGGUGCGCCCCAAUCUGGUAGAGCACGACCCUAGGAUCCUCUUGGUCGUUCUCGCACCCCUAUAAGUAGCCAGAUACCCCUUCAGGGUUGCUUAGGGUUUUGAUUAAUUGUAAGUUUAGCCAUUGCUACUUAGCUUGCAGCGCGCAUGUCGGCUAGACCGUCCAUCUGCUUGUUCGAAACCUCACUUUAUCGUGUAUCAAUUCAUCUUUGUGCGUCUUGUCUAUCUAAUAA